UCAUAUUACACUUGGGCUUGUGCUUGUGAC
rnacentral:piRNA from 1 species